rnacentral:rRNA from 1 species
CCUACGGGAGGCAGCAGUGGGGAAUAUUGCACAAUGGGCGAAAGCCUGAUGCAGCGACGCCGCGUGAGGGAUGACGGCCUUCGGGUUGUAAACCUCUUUCAGCAGGGAAGAAGCGAAAGUGACGGUACCUGCAGAAGAAGCGCCGGCUAACUACGUGCCAGCAGCCGCGGUAAUACGUAGGGCGCAAGCGUUGUCCGGAAUUAUUGGGCGUAAAGAGCUCGUAGGCGGCUUGUCACGUCGGAUGUGAAAGCCCGGGGCUUAACCCCGGGUCUGCAUUCGAUACGGGCUAGCUAGAGUGUGGUAGGGGAGAUCGGAAUUCCUGGUGUAGCGGUGAAAUGCGCAGAUAUCAGGAGGAACACCGGUGGCGAAGGCGGAUCUCUGGGCCAUUACUGACGCUGAGGAGCGAAAGCGUGGGGAGCGAACAGGAUUAGAUACCCUGGUAGUCCACGCCGUAAACGUUGGGAACUAGGUGUUGGCGACAUUCCACGUCGUCGGUGCCGCAGCUAACGCAUUAAGUUCCCCGCCUGGGGAGUACGGCCGCAGGCUAAACNCAAAGGAAUUGACGCUUGNGAGUUGCGAGGCGACGACGAGGGAGAGG